rnacentral:misc_RNA from 1 species
GCAAACUUGGUCAUUUAGAGGAAGUAAAAGUCGUAACAAGGUUUCCGUAGGUGAACCUGCGGAAGGAUCAUUAACAAAGUGCCCCCCGGCUUUUAGUUGGGGGGCUGCCAUUUUACCCGCAAGGGUAACAAUGUGUCCACCCCUUUGUGAAACUUCAAUUUUGCUUCGGCAGCGCUCUUAGCGGCGUAAGACCCGCUAGAGGGGUAAGGCUGUCAGAAGCCCGUACCAAAUUAGUUGAUGAGAUGUCAUGCUGUCUGAUAACCACUACUUGGGAAACCAAAUUACAUUAAAACUUUCAGCAACGGAUCUCUUGGUUCCCGCAUCGAUGAAGAACGCAGC